rnacentral:rRNA from 1 species
UACAGAGAGUGCGAGCGUUGUUCGGAAUUACUGGGCGUAAAGCGCGCGCAGGCGGCCUUUUAAGUCUUGUGGUGAAAUGCCGGGGCUCAACCCCGUGCCCGCCGGAGAUACUGGGAGGCUGGAGACGAGUAGAGGCAAGCGGAAUUCCGGGUGUAGCGGUGGAAUGCGUAGAGAUCCGGAAGAACACCGGAGGCGAAGGCGGCUUGCUGGGCUCGGUCUGACGCUGAGGCGCGAAAGCGUGGGGAGCGAACAGG